rnacentral:rRNA from 1 species
GACGAACGCUGGCGGCGUGCUUAACACAUGCAAGUCGAACGGUAAGGCUCUAGCUUGCUGGGGUACACGAGUGGCGAACGGGUGAGUAACACGUGGGUGACCUGCCCUGCACUUCGGGAUAAGCCUGGGAAACUGGGUCUAAUACCGGAUAGGACCGCAUCGUGCGGGUGUGGGGGUAAGUUUUUUCGGUGUGGGAUGGGCCCGCGGCCUAUUAGCUUGUUGGUGGGGUAAUGGCCUACCAAGGCGGCGACGGGUAGCCGGCCUGAGAGGGUGGACGGCCACAUUGGGACUGAGACACGGCCCAGACUCCUACGGGAGGCAGCAGUGGGGAAUAUUGCACAAUGGGCGGAAGCCUGAUGCAGCGACGCCGCGUGGGGGAUGACGGCCUUCGGGUUGUAAACUCCUUUCACCAUCGACGAAGGGUUUCUGACGGUAGAUGGAGAAGAAGCACCGGCUAACUACGUG